GCUAUUUUAGUUUAAAUAGAAUACGUUACUUGUAAUAACGAGGUUUUUUGUAGCA
rnacentral:tRNA from 1 species